rnacentral:rRNA from 1 species
GACGAACGCUGGCGGCGGGCUUAACACAUGCAAGUCGAACGGAAAGGCCCUGCUUUUGGGGGGUGCUCGAGUGGCGAACGGGUGAGUAACACUUGAGUAACCUGCCCUUGACUUUGGGAUAACUUCAGGAAACUGGGGCUAAUACCGGAUAGGAGCUCCUGCUGCAUGGUGGGGGUUGGAAAGUUUCGGCGGUUGGGGAUGGACUCGCGGCUUAUCAGCUUGUUGGUGGGGUAGUGGCUUACCAAGGCUUUGACGGGUAGCCGGCCUGAGAGGGUGACCGGCCACAUUGGGACUGAGAUACGGCCCAGACUCCUACGGGAGGCAGCAGUGGGGAAUAUUGCACAAUGGGCGGAAGCCUGAUGCAGCAACGCCGCGUGCGGGAUGACGGCCUUCGGGUUGUAAACCGCUUUCGCCUGUGACGAAGCGUGAGUGACGGUAAUGGGUAAAGAAGCACCGGCUAACUACGUG